CAAGAACUUGCUUUCUCCUGCCCUGCUUGAGGCCCUGCCUGGGUAGAAAACAAAGAACAAGACAGACAAGGCCUCUGACCUCACAGGUAUCAAACUAUGAUGGAGCAGAGUGACAUCACAGAUACAAAAGUAACAGGCUGGAGGGGCAAGUGGCAACCAGAACAGGGCUUCUAAGAUGGAGCAGAUGUCUUUUCUCCGAUCACAUUUUCUGCCCUAAUACGAUGUUGACGACUGUGCCUUUGUCCUGUGAAAGGAGUUCACUGUAACACGUGUGCCAUAUGAAGGGAGACAGGGAGGACACACGCAAUAACCAGCGCCUAGGAAGCCAGACACAAUCAGCACAGCCGCUGCACAGCUCAGUGCGUUUCCCUUCAGAAAACAGGCAAGAACCACUUCCUGGAAGUCUGUGUCCUCCGUGCUCCUGGCCCCAGCCCCUGUUCUACUGAGGGUGAGGGUUAAGGGUGUUCAUAAGCCUCACCUCCACUGGGCAGAGACCACAGGUGACAAUAAAUACUGACGUUAUCAGGCUGAUGUCUGUGCAAAGGA